AGAGUUUGAUCAUGGCUCAGGACGAACGCUGGCGGCGUGCUUAACACAUGCAAGUCGAACGGAAAGGCCCUUCGGGGUACUCGAGUGGCGAACGGGUGAGUAACACGUGGGUGAUCUGCCCUGCACUUUGGGAUAAGCCUGGGAAACUGGGUCUAAUACCGAAUAGGACCGCGCGCUUCAUGGUGUGUGGUGGAAAGCUUUUGCGGUGUGGGAUGGGCCCGCGGCCUAUCAGCUUGUUGGUGGGGUAAUGGCCUACCAAGGCGACGACGGGUAGCCGGCCUGAGAGGGUGACCGGCCACACUGGGACUGAGAUACGGCCCAGACUCCUACGGGAGGCAGCAGUGGGGAAUAUUGCACAAUGGGCGCAAGCCUGAUGCAGCGACGCCGCGUGAGGGAUGACGGCCUUCGGGUUGUAAACCUCUUUCACCAGGGACGAAGCGCAAGUGACGGUACCUGGAGAAGAAGCACCGGCCAACUACGUGCCAGCAGCCGCGGUAAUACGUAGGGUGCGAGCGUUGUCCGGAAUUACUGGGCGUAAAGAGCUCGUAGGUGGUUUGUCGCGUUGUUCGUGAAAACUCACAGCUUAACUGUGGGCGUGCGGGCGAUACGGGCAGACUAGAGUACUGCAAGGGAGACUGGAAUUCCUGGUGUAGCGGUGGAAUGCGCAGAUAUCAGGAGGAACACCGGUGGCGAAGGCGGGUCUCUGGGCAGUAACUGACGCUGAGGAGCGAAAGCGUGGGGAGCGAACAGGAUUAGAUACCCUGGUAGUCCAA
rnacentral:rRNA from 1 species